CCCUUCCCGCCAUCUGUGUCAGCCAAUCAGAGGAGCUGGCUCCAUGAGGGUGGGAGGGAGGCGUGAGGGGAGGUGCAGAAAAAGCAAAUUUGAGGAAAAAAGUUCAAGGGGCUUGUCUGGAGGAAUGAAAGGGAGAGGACACUUGAAGGGGAGUUGUUGGGGGUGCUGUGCUUGGAUAGGUUGAAAAAGGAUGUUUCAGGUCUCCUCAGUUAUGAUCAGGCAAACCUCCCAAAACGGAGGUGUCAGUCCUUCGCUCAGUGUGACAUUGGGCUGCACCUUGAAUCUUGGGGUCAGUUUUGGACCCCUCACUAUUAGGAAGCCCUUGAGGUGCUGGAGCGAGUUGAGAGAAGGGAACGGAGCUGGUGAGGGGCUGGAGCACAAGUGUGAUGGGAGCGGCUGAGGGACCUGGGGGGUUCAGCUGGAGAACAGGAGCUGAGGGGAGACCUUCUGAUCUCUGAACUGCCUGAAAGGAGCUUGGAGCGUGGAGGGGGUUGGUCUCUUCUCCCAAGUAACAAGCAAUGGAAUGAGGGGAAAUUGCCUCAAGUUGCACCAGUGGAGGGUUAGUUUGAUGUUAGGAAAAAAUUCUUCACAGAAAGGGCUGUCAGGCUGCCCAGGGCAGUGGUGGAGUCACCAUCCCUGGAGGUGUUGACAAGACACAUAGCUGAGGUUCUUAGGGAUGUGGUUUAGUGCCAGUGUUAGGUUAGUGGUUGGACUCAGUGAUCUUGAAUGUCUCUUCCAACCAGAAUGAUUCUAUGAUUAAACGGGUUUCUGCGGCUGUUGCCACUGCUGGGACAUGCAGCUGUGUGGCUGCAGCUGUGCUGGGAAUCUGGAACAGCUGGGAUACAGCUGAUGGCUGAAAGGGGAGCGUUGCUGGGGGAAAGGUGGGCCUGUGCCACUUGUAGGCACUGCCCUGUGCAAAGGAGUUUGGUUUUGGGGUCAGCUGAUGAAGGAGGCUGUGGGGUGGUGGUCUGAUCCAGUUCAUCCUGCCAAGGAGAGACCCCUCUGGAGGGACAAGGCAAAAGGAGAAAAUCAGCUGUGGCCAAAUGGACCAUGAGAGUGUGUUUGUAAGCAAGGGGGAAAGAACUCUGAAAAGGUAGUGAUCACUAAUGUUGUGUCUGGGCAGCAGGGCACAGUUACUGAUGCCACUCAGGUGUCACCAGAUAACCUGGUGGGACAACCCAUUGAUCAAGGAAUGACAUGUGCGUAACAUAAUGGGGUGAGCAAAUGGAGGACAGGUGUGAGAUGAGAAGCAUGGCCAAGGAUGAAUCAAGGAGUCCAAUAGUAUGAUCAACCUUGAAAAAAGUGUCAAGGGCUGAAACUUUUCCAUGCUGUUGCACCAGGAGUUACGGAUGUUGCUGAACAAAAAGGGGGAGGCUGUGAUGAAGGGAACUAAUAGCUCUCUUUUGAAUUUCUAACCAUAUUGAGAAACCAUUUCCAGUUGCUCCCAGUUCUGGAUUGAACUCAUGAUCUUAAUGAUGAAGGACGCCACAUCCCAUUAGCAAUCUUCUGAGCCAUACAGUUCUCCUGAGAGUCUGUUUCAAUAAGCUGGUUGAUGUUUCUGUGUGAUGCAUACCAAAUAUAUUCUACAAUUAAAGUAUUUUUUCCAUUCAUCAUUUAAAUAAAAUUAUGAGGCGCUUGAACAUUGAAUAAUUUAUAUUCCCCUAAAAGAUGUUAGGAUAAUAAAUAGCAGGAAUACUGUUAGGUUUAUGAAACUGUUGCAGAGAACUCUUUUCUAACUUUGGUACUGCCUCAAACUCUUCAUUCCUAUCAAAUAAUUGUUUCCAUUUUUAACUUUAUUGUAGAGUUAUUUCAGAGGGUUUUUUUUGUUUGUUUCUUUUAUUUUUUAAUGAGUACUGGGCAAAUCUUUACAGUUCAGGCAUUCCCCAGCUGACUCAUCCAGCCACUGAAUUCUGUAAAAGAAGUUUCUUUUCAAAACCAUGUGCCUGUGUGUUGUCUGCAUUUGGAGAAAAAUGCACAAUUCUUCUCCCAGAUCCGUAUUUCCCUCCUGCCAAAGGGCUGCGUGUUGACUCAGUGCCUGGCUGUAUUGCCUAGUGAUUUCUUAUCAUAUUUAUAUAAGCAGAUGUGUGUCUUGUGCUAAAGAGUUUUCAAAGAGACGCAGAGCCAUGUGGAGGGACACUUAAUUGUAUGUUGAUUAUUUGUUGGCAAGCUUCAAGUUGGGAUACUGGCUAUAUCAGAAAAACAGCAAAAAUGUUUUAGUUGUUUCUCCCCUGGCUUUCGGCAGGAUGAUUUCAGCCCCCCCCCGGACUCUUUCAAGGCUGACGCAGUAUGCAUGGGAAUAGGAAUUUGCCCUUGAGAGAGUUGUAUUUAUACACAGAAUUGUGUAGAUGUGGUUGUCGCAAUCCAGAAAGAAAAUAAGCGAAGAAAAUCUCAUUGUGUUCAGGCAAGUUAAUGCUCUGUUUGAGGGAAGAGUUAAAACUGUAAUGCAGGAGUCAUAAAUAAACCUUACUUGCCUAAGAAGCACUGAGAUGAAGAAAAGGAAGCACUUGGAGGAUGAUGACAAGGAUGUUAUGAUGGGAAACACGACAUUUAAGUGGCAAUGGAACGGGCAAUUCUAUAAGCCCUCAGGAAGACAAGUGUUGCUGAAACAUGACGAUUUAUCGAAUGAAUUUCCUAACACACUUGUUACCAUGGUUUUUUUUUUCCCUGCAGUACCAUGGAGUUCUGUCCCAUCUUUUGGCACAAAAAUAAAGGGAAGAAAAUGUCAUCCAGCACCAGGGUGCCAGAGCCCAGAGUCUGUUCCCAAAUGAGGAGGAUGAAUAAGUAGUUUGUUUGGCUCUACAGAAUACAGAGAACUUCUCCACUGAAGGUGGAAGGUCCAGAUUGACAGAUAUUGUCAAAGGGACUUAGGGUUUGGGAACCACUAUAAUGCUGUAUCUGCACUGAAGGGUAACCACACUCCAUAUUAAAAAGUGACCACAUCAAUCAGUUGUUUCUCAUCUCCAUCAAUGCCUUAUAGUCACACAGCUGCAAAACACAGCAUUGAAAUAAAUAGCAAUUAAUCCAAUUAAAAUGCAAUUUGUGCUUACUGUUAUAUUGCAUGGUUUGACUGUGUCUAGUUACAUCAGGUGACAUCAAUCCAGCGUCCAGUAGCUGACCUAUCUAGAGACUCCAUGCACUGGAGCACAUACAGGAAUGCGUAGGAGUUGAGACAUGAGGGUUCCUGUGUCUUCUACCAAAGCACUCCUAACUGCUGCUAUGCAGAAGAUUCAUGCUAUACCUGGAUUUCUGGGCUGCAAAGGGAAAAUUGCACCAUUUCAGGUCCAAGAGUUCCUUAAAAUUAGGUUUGAAUUUCAUCAUUAAAGCCAGAAUUUGGUAUUUUCUUUGUAAAAUCAAUAAAUAAGGGGUAUGUGAAGUCUUUCCUGGCUGCUAUGCAAAAGGAAUGUCUUGUCUAAACUAUAAUUGUGACUUGAAAUCCUUUGGAAAGAAGUGUGGGAUUUAUGGAUGCUUAUUUAAACCAAACAAAACCUUUGCAAAUUUAUACAGCAACAUUCAAGCACAUUGAGUUAACUCAGGUGAUAACAUCUGUUUCUAAUGGUUUGUCUAAACAUUCUGGUUGUAAAUUUUCCAGUGAAAUUGAAUCUUAUCAGAAAAUAGCUGGUUUUCUUCCAAAAAUGUUACAGAAAAUACCUUAGUUUCAGCAAGUUUCAGCCAGACCAGUUCUAAUCUAACGUAGCGGACUUCCAUGGGUGUCCAUAUCCCCUGGUGUGAUAUAGUUGAUAUUAGUGUUAAUUGUUCCAGGUUUAGCCACUGCUGACUAUUACUCCAGUGAUAUGACUUAAACCAAGACUAAAAUAAUUUGUGCCUGGUAUCUGUAAAUGGAUCCAGUUUUUUUCAUCUCAGUAACUGGAUGAAGUUGUGCUGUUGCUUUUAGUGCUGGAUCUAGUCCUUUGUGUGUUUCUGAAUUACUAUCUGUCUGCCAGCCAGGAAGGAAGAGCUCAGUGGAAUAAAGGAGAUAACCACAAAGAGGGACCUUGUGGAGAUGGCAGCAGAGAAAGAUUUACUUGAGCAUGAAACAGUGAACCAAGACUGAAUCCCAGCACCUUCGUUACUUUGCAGUGAGUCACUUAACCUCUCCAUGUUACAGGGUUUUUUUUAAUAAAAUCAAGCUAAUUACCUGCCUGAAAGAGGAGCUGUGAGACUAAUUAAUUGAUGUUUGCAAAGUACUUCAAAACUGUAAAAUGUGGUAAUAGCUGCUGAGUGUUGUUACUACUUUUUUUGAAGCAGAUGUACCUGCUGUUGGAAAUUGAUAUGGAGGACUGUUUUCUGUUUCGCAAUUUCCUUCCUGAUUUCACCAAUUGCCCCAGUCUUUGUUGUGGUAACCAAAAAAGAAACAAAACACGCCAGAAAGUGAAACCCUUGGCUGUCUGCUCCUGUCACUGUCUUCUUGGGGACAUCCCUAGUCACAGGGAUGGUCUGACCCAAACUACGUCCUUCCACGAAGCUGCCUAGGAGAGGGUUUUCUGUUUAUGUUCGGCAAACUUUCAUGGAAUCUUCCUGUUUCCAAUUUUGUCUCAAUUGCCCUGCCUUUCUCUGUUCAUUUAUUUCUAUCAUUUGAUGUUAUAUGCUAGCAGGUUGCUUCUUCAGAAAUUGCAGACAAAAUAAGACAGAUGUGCCAAAUGCAAAGAUAUUGAGAGACCAGUUACCAUAGCAAUUGUAACCAUGGUCUGAGAUCUUCAUUCCUGGGUUUUGAGUUAUCUUGUAACACCUGAGCAGAUAGAAAAUGCUUGAUAUUAGUGAACGAGUACUUGAUAACGUACUGGCUACCACUUUGUCCCACAUCAGUUUGAAUGGAGAUGGUCAAGUUCAGAUUUCUGGAAUUUCCACUACUUUUCAUGUCAUUCAUUCCAUUUCCAUACAGCUCCAGAAAGGAUAUCUCAUGAAAAAUAGCUAAGAAAAGGAGUUAAGAGUUUAGAUAAAUAUGAUGUACAUCAUUAUAUGUAAUAUGAUUCAUGUGUAUAGCAUACAUAGGUAGAAUAUGAUACAUAACAACAUAAGAUAUAAUGAGGAAUAUAUAUAUCAAUAUAUUAUAUCUAAUAGAAUAUAAUGCAUAACAAUAAAUAUAUGUAUUUACAUAUUGCACAAUAUUAAUAUAUUACAUAGGUGUUAGAUCAACUAGAGAAUUACAAAUUCAGAGAGGGCUUUUGGGCUUCAUCUGGAAAAAUAAAAUCAUAUACAAGUUUUCCUGACAUAUUUUUAUGUUUAUUUGCAUUAUAAACUCUUUGGGGCAUUGAUUCUGAAAUUCUCCCUAUAGAACUAUGCUUGCAUACGUCUACCUUCUAUAGUUGUGAUGUUACCUAAAUAAAAAUAUUAAUAGAUAAAAGUAGCAGCCUCUUCACUCUAGCCAAACCUGGAAGCAGAUGAAUUUUUAAUUCAAAUUAAAUUGUUCUUAUGAAGUUCUUGUUCAUUUAUAUUAAUUACAUGUACUGACCUGACCUAACCUACUUAGGUGAACCUGCAGAAAUUAAAGAAUCUUCCAUUUUGCAUGGACAAAAUGCACAGAGAAUUACUUGCUUAAAUGCACUCACGUAGAGUUUCUACAUAAAAAUUAAUAAAGCUCAUUGAUAUUGUGGCCCCGUAAGAGCAGAAGUGCCUUUGAGGUUUCUUUCUAUCAGGAUUUGGGUUGUUACUUCAUAGUGGGACAGACUGGAAUGGCUUUGCCUUGAGGUUUGAAUGUCUGAUGGGUUUAGAAUUAUUCCUGUUACUUGUCCCAGGUGUGCUGGAAGAAAGAAAGAACUCUUGAGAUGUGGUUUAAUCAGCUUGUCACUUCAUUGACUUAGAUCAGUAGGGAAUAAUGCAGCAAUAACUCAUGCAGUGUUAAUUCUCAUCUUGCCUCACCUUCAUAUAUUUAUUUGGAGGCUUCUAUCAUUGCUCUUGAAUUUGAUUUGUGCUGGUUGGUCUCACCAUAUUUCAGGAAGAAGUUUAGUUCCUGAGAACAGUUAAGAUCAGGAGCGGGUGGAAGAACUAGCCAAAGGCACAAAAAGCAACUCAGACUAGCUCAGCUGCUUGAAGGUGUUUUUAUGUCUGCUUCUCCGUAAUGCCUCCUUUCUCUAAGACUGGGGUCAUAGUAGUGUCCACUUCCUUAUAUAUAAAGGUUGUGUGCUUUUGAGAUUGAAGAAAACUUAAUAAAUGCUUUGAGAAUGGAUUGUCUACAAGAAACAAAUCUAAUAAAUUCAGAGCACUACCUCAGCAAGACAUGCACGUGUUUGAUUUGCUUUGGUGCAUGUGUGUUCUUCUGGACUUGUUUUCUGGUCAACAUACAUGUAACCACAGGGAAUCUGGUCAUGGAGAUUUUACUUUGUGUAAGAUCACUCAGCAUGUCCAGAAGCUCUGAAAAAGGUUGCCAGAGCCAUGUAAAACAGAAAGAACUGAGGGAAGCUGUCAUAUCUAUUAUGAAAUUUUUGGAGUUAUGUAGACUAAACAAUUAAUUUAGGAAUGUUCUAAGGUACUCAAAAUGGGCAGGAGAGGGAGCACACGUUGCAGCAAAGCUCAACAUGCUGUAUUGUCAGAUCUGGAGUUAGAAUGGUUCCUAUUUUGUGUCAAACAUUGUCUGAGCAUUAUUGCCUUAAUUAUGAUUUUGAUCAGUUCCAUGAUAACUUAAAGAGAAUAAAGAUUGA